rnacentral:rRNA from 1 species
CGAGAGACGCGCAAGACUUGCGGUGUAUUACUACAGAUUGUUUUACCGACUUAUUUGGGGUUACUGCCGAUCGAAAGAUCGAGGCAAACAGCAGUAACACGGCAGCGCAGAGCAAGAGCUCAUAAGACCAGGCCAACCCAAGCCAGUUUGCCUGACGACAAUAGAGUUGUGGAACCACCUGAUCCCUUGCCGAACUCAGAAGUGAAACGCAACAUCGCCGAUGGUAGUGUGGGGUUUCCCCAUGUGAGAGUAGGUCAUCGUCAGGC